rnacentral:rRNA from 1 species
AUGUGUUUACAAACUGCGACUCUGCGAUCAUUGAACUACAAGCCGAGAACAACCGCAAAAGCUCUGAGAUCUUGGCACGGUCCAAACCACUCUGAUCUGCGGCUGAGGGGAACAAUCAUUGCGGAGCUCAUUUUCAGGCUGGACAUUGCCGGUGACGCGAGAACUUUAUCACAGGCAGGGAUCAGUCUCAGAGGCUUGCUGAAGAUGCAAAGUCUGGGAAUUGCUGCCACGGAGAGGUCCACGAGGCGGCAAAAGUCUCGUUUCCUGACGUUGAAGGAUGGCGCGUCCAAUUCCAGGCUGUUCCGUGUCCACGCUUCUUCACGCAGGCGCAAGAACCACAUCCUGGAUUUGCAGCGUGAUGGUGCUCUGGUCACUGAUGAUUCCGAGAAGAUGGACAUGAUUUGGUCUCACUUCAACUCCCUGCUGGGCUGCACCUCCGAUCGCCCACACACUCUGAAUCUUGAAGCGCUCAACGUGCCGGCUAUUGACCUAUCUGCCCUUUUGAUGCACCUUUCACUGAAGAUGAGAUUAAAGGUACAAUUUUUCAGCUGCACCCACGGUCCCGACGGAUUUACUGGCAAGUUUUUCAGAGUGUGUUGGUCAAUGGUUUCAGGUAUUGAAUUCUCAAGCCCUGAGCCCGCUCAACUCGGCCACAAUGAUUAUGCUUGCUAA